UGGUGUUGUUUAUUUUUUAACAAUGUGGUGAUGAAUGCCUUCACUUCUGGGGGAACACUAUCGCAUCGUUGGACAUUAUUUCCUGGAUCUAAUCCACUAAGAUGAUACUUAAGUCGUGUCACUCCACCACUCUUCAUUACCCGACCACAAUAUUUGCAAAUUGAGCCAUUUUUGUUUCCGUCUAUUGGGUCUCCAUGUUCCCAAGCUGGAUCACGUUUAAC
rnacentral:lncRNA from 1 species